rnacentral:lncRNA from 1 species
GUUUAGCCUCUGGUAAUCCUUGGGAUGAGGACAUCUGAGGUAUAUACCUAAGAUUAAGGACUUCUAUUGAUUCAUCCUGCUGUGAAUACAAAUUAUGGGGCUUGACAAUAGGAUAAUAAAAUCUUAUUUUGAAAGAAAAGCAAAAGAGGAGGUCCCAAGCUGCACUCAUAUGUGUAGCCAGUUAUUGUAGGCAUUCUAGUCCAGCAACACUUGGAGACUUAUUGUGGACUGCUCUACAUCAGAUUAUCGAUCCGGAAGUCCUUAAGAAAUCUUUGCUUCCAUCAUAGGAUCAAAGCUGUAAUCCUACACACUUCCAC